CAAUCAUCAUCCCGCCGGGUCCUGCCCGGCGAGGUUGGAACUGGGCGCUGCCAUUUGGCUCGCCUCAAACACAUCGGUGGUCUACCGACCCUUGCCUCGGCGUAAUACGUUUCGUCGUGUCUCGGACAGGGGGACCUCCUUGAAACCGCCCCUCACGGGGAUUUGUAC
rnacentral:misc_RNA from 1 species